rnacentral:rRNA from 1 species
GAACGCUGGCAGCGUGCUUAACACAUGCAAGUCGUGCGAGAAAGGUCCUUCGGGGACUGAGUAGAGCGGCGCACGGGUGAGUAACGCGUGGGUGACCUACCCAGGAGACCGGGAUAACAGUGGGAAACUGCUGCUAAUACCGGGUACGCUUCAUAUUUCACGUAUGGGGGAAAGGCGGCCUCUGCUUGCAAGCUGCCACUCUUGGAUGGGCCCGCGUCUCAUUAGCUUGUUGGUAGGGUAACGGCCUACCAAGGCGACGAUGAGUAGCUGGUCUGAGAGGAUGAUCAGCCACACUGGGACUGGAACACGGCCCAGACUCCUACGGGAGGCAGCAGUGGGGAAUAUUGCGCAAUGGGCGAAAGCCUGACGCAGCGACGCCGCGUGAGGGAAGAAGGCCUUCGGGUCGUAAACCUCUGUCAGGAGGGAAGAAACCAUGGGAGUCGAACAGGCUCUCGUGCUGACGGUACCUCCGGAGGAAGCACCGGCUAACUCCGUGCCAGCCGCUGC